rnacentral:ncRNA from 1 species
GGUGGACCCAGCUCGCUGGGUGGCUCGGCCGGGCGCCUAUCCCUCGGACAAUU